rnacentral:rRNA from 1 species
CCUACGGGUGGCAGCAGUGAGGAAUAUUGGUCAAUGGGCGGGAGCCUGAACCAGCCAAGUAGCGUGAGGGAAGAAGGUCCUAGGGAUUGUAAACCGCUUUAGGCGGGGAGCAAUACCGGGCACGCGUGCACGGAUGGAGAGUACCCGCAGAAUAAGCACGGGCUAACUCGGUGCCAUCAGCCGAGGAAAUACGGAGGACGCGAGCGUUACCCGGAUUUAUUGGGUUUAAAGGGUGCGUAGGCGGCUUUUUAAGUCAGCGGUAAAAUGUCCGGGCUCAACCCGGGCCGGCCGUUGAAACUGGAGAUCUUGAGUGGGCGAGAAGUAGGCGGAAUGCGUGGUGUAGCGGUGAAAUGCAUAGAUAUCACGCGGAACUCCGAUUGCGAAGGCAGCAUACCGGCGCCCGACUGACGCUGAGGCUCGAAGGCGUGGGGAUCGAACAGGAUUAGAUACCCUGGUAGUC